rnacentral:rRNA from 1 species
GAAUCCGCUAAGGAGUGUGUAACAACUCACCUGCCGAAUGAAUUAGCCCUGAAAAUGGAUGACGCUGAAGCCGACAGCCGACACCACGCCGUCUGACCAAAGUGGUUAUCAGAUGAGUAGGAGGGCGUGGCGGUUGUAUGGAAGCGUGGGUGCGAACCUGCGUGAAACGGCCGCUAGUGCAGAUCUUGGUGGUAGUAGCAAAUAUUCAAGUGAGAUCCUUGAAGGACGAAGCGGGGAAGGGUUCCACGCGAACAUUGAUUGAGCGUGGGUGAGUCGUUCCUAAGCCGAGUGGUUAUUGCUAAUUACCGGCGAAAGGGAAGCAGGUUGACAUUCCUGCACACGGAUGUGGAGGCGGUGACGCCGUAUUGGGGUGAUGACGUUGGCAGUGGCUCUGGGCAGAGUUGUCUUUUCUGUUUAACCGUCAGUAUGUACUCUGUGGAAUCCGCUUGUCGGGAGAAACAGGUAUGUACGGGCAUAGCGCCGGGGCUUUUCCGGCGUCCAGAUCGCCACUGACGACCCUUGAAAAAUCACUUACUGGGCAUGGACUCGUUCUGUGCAAAAUCCACGCCGUGGCGUACCGAUAACCGCAUCAGGUCCCCAAGGUGAACAGCCUCUGUCCGAUAUGAAAAAUGCAGGUAAGGGAAGUCGGCA